ACUCCUACGGGAGGCAGCAGUGGGGAAUAUUGCACAAUGGGCGCAAGCCUGAUGCAGCCAUGCCGCGUGUAUGAAGAAGGCCUUCGGGUUGUAAAGUACUUUCAGCAGUGAGGAAGGCGGGUGCGUUAAUAGCGCAUUCGUUUGACGUUAGCUGCAGAAGAAGCACCGGCUAACUCCGUGCCAGCAGCCGCGGUAAUACGGAGGGUGUGAGCGUUAAUCGGAAUUACUGGGCGUAAAGCGCAUGCAGGUGGUUUGUUAAGUCAGAUGUGAAAGCCCGGGGCUCAACCUCGGAAUUGCAUUUGAAACUGGCAGACUAGAGUACUGUAGAGGGGGGUAGAAUUUCAGGUGUAGCGGUGAAAUGCGUAGAGAUCUGAAGGAAUACCGGUGGCGAAGGCGGCCCCCUGGACAGAUACUGACACUCAGAUGCGAAAGCGUGGGGAGCAAACAGGAUUAGAUACCCUGGUA
rnacentral:rRNA from 1 species